UCGGGAAUUUUGUGCAAUGGGCGAAAGCCUGACACAGCAACGCCGCGUGAAGGAUGAAGUAUUUCGGUAUGUAAACUUCGAAAGAAUAGGAAGAAUAAAUGACGGUACUAUUUAUAAGCUCCGGCUAACUACGUGCCAGCAGCCGCGGUAAUACGUAGGGAGCAAGCGUUGUUCGGAUUUACUGGGCGUAAAGGGCGCGUAGGCGGCGCGGUAAGUCACUUGUGAAAUCUCUGAGCUUAACUCAGAACGGCCAAGUGAUACUGCAGUGCUAGAGUGCAAAAGGGGCAAUCGGAAUUCUUGGUGUAGCGGUGAAAUGCGUAGAUAUCGGAAGGAACAUCGGUGGCGAAGGCGUCUACCUGGCCUAAUACUGACACUGAGGCACGAAAGCGUGGGGAGCAAACAGGAUUAGAUACCCCUGUAGUCCCUGAGCGGGCUGGCAAGGCGCAU
rnacentral:rRNA from 1 species